AAAUUGUGGUGUGAUCAACAUCUCAACAAGUCCUUGUACCUCUUCCACGCAUCAUACAUGCACUCAUCAUCAAAUUGCACAAAAGAGAAAAUAUCAUUACGCAUCU